AGAACUAAACAACAAUUCAAGGGUAAUAGAGUACCCAGACGUCCCAUGGGUAUUAGAAGUAUCCUCAGAAGAAUCAGAAAGCAGUGAUGAAUCAGAUUCAGAAUGGUUGCAGGAAGACACCCAUAUGGUUUACACUAUACAUAGCUACUGUAAUUACUGUGAAGUGAGAGGACACUUGUCCAGUAGAUGUCCUUUUAGGCCUCAACUACAACAACAACAACUAUGAUGAUAACGACAAAUACAACAACAACUAACUUGUUUUCAUAUUUAGUUUUGAUAAAAUAUGAAUCUAUUUCCAGUAUUAUAAUGCAUCAGAUUAAUCACUGGUGUGGAAUUUUAUAUCUGAAAUCUGAAUCUGAAGUAGUUGAACAUAACUAAGUUCAAGAAUAUCUAUUUCGAAGAAGUAAUCUUUUACGAUAUUCCAGUCUGAUAAUAAAAACUUGAGUUACUAUAAUUUGUGAUAUAUUCGACUGCUAUUUCAUAUUAUACUAUUAGUUAGUUUUAUAUAUUUUUUAAAUAAAUGUUCCCCUGGAUUUUU